GACGAACGCUGGCGGCGUGCUUAACACAUGCAAGUCGAGCGGUAAGGCCCUUUCGGGGGUACGACGAGCGGCGAACGGGUGAGUAACACGUGGGUGACCUGCCCUCAGCUCUGGGAUAAGCCCGGGAAACUGGGUCUAAUACCGGAUAUGACUUCAUGACGCAUGUUGUGGAGUGGAAAGCCUUGUGCGGCUGAGGAUGGGCCCGCGGCCUAUCAGCUUGUUGGUGGGGUGANGGCCUACCAAGGCGACGACGGGUAGCCGGCCUGANAGGGCCGACCGGCACACUGGACUGAGAUACGGCCCAGACUCCUACGGGAGGCAGCAGUGGGGAUCUUGCGCAAUGGGCGAAAGCCUGACGCAGCGA
rnacentral:rRNA from 1 species